rnacentral:rRNA from 1 species
GAUGAACGCUAGCGGCAGGCUUAACACAUGCAAGUCGAGGGGUAACAGAGAAAAGCUUGCUUUUUUGCUGACGACCGGCGCACGGGUGCGUAACGCGUAUACAAUCUGCCUUAUACAGAGGGAUAGCCUUUAGAAAUGAAGAUUAAUACCUUAUAGUCUAUAUAUAUAGCAUUAUAUAAAUAGUAAAGCUUCGGUGGUAUAAGAUGAGUAUGCGUCCUAUUAGUUAGUUGGUGAGGUAACGGCUUACCAAGACAACGAUAGGUAGGGGCCCUGAGAGGGGGAUCCCCCACACUGGUACUGAGACACGGACCAG